rnacentral:rRNA from 1 species
UACAGAGGUGGCAAGCGUUGUUCGGAAUUACUGGGCGUAAAGGGCGCGUAGGCGGCCUUCUAAGUCAGACGUGAAAUCCCCCGGCUUAACCUGGGAACUGCGUCUGAUACUGGAAGGCUUGAGUUCGGGAGAGGAAUGUGGAAUUCCAGGUGUAGCGGUGAAAUGCGUAGAUAUCUGGAGGAACACCGGUGGCGAAGGCGGCAUUCUGGACCGAAACUGACGCUGAGGCGCGAAAGCCAGGGGAGCAAACGGG